GGGAGUGAGUCCGCACUUUGCCAACUUCGGCCGAGAGCUGAUUCUGCAUACGGAUCUGUACAAACAACAGGAUCUCAACACGCCGCAGGAUCUAAAGCUUGCGCAAGAUCUGCGUUUGUCGAAUUUAAAGCGGAUCCAUGAAUUCAUGUUGCAACGGAUCAGAAACUCGCACGAAAAAUCGAAGAAACGGUACAACAUGCGUACGAGAGCGGUGGCGUUCAACGUCGGAGAUCUAGUCUGGCGAAGGUCGUUCGGAUUAUCAUCAAAAGUGGAUCACAUCAACCAGAAAUUGAACCCGAAGUUCCUGCCAGCGAUGAUCCGGAAAGUUUUGGGUACCAACUUAUAUGAGCUGGAGGAUGUUCCGUCUGGAAAAGUAGGAAGGUACCACGCAAAGGAUCUAAAGGCCGAUUAGAAGAAAUUUGCUCAGCUAUGUCGGCAGGCUCCAACCUGCUAACCACGAGUUUAGUGCUCCAGAAACACCGUUAGCCGAUCGGGAUAAAUCGUGCCCUGUCAGGGUGUGGCGAGCAAUAACUUUUCAAACUACCUCCCCACCAUGGCAUAUCAGCCAGCGUCAAUUGGACUUGAAGAGCUGUCUAGGAAGGCCCAUGACAACUCGCAGUCGCAGCAAGCAGCUGUCGAGACGUGAGGGACGGGACAGGACUUCCACCAAUUGAGAAAGAUAAGCCUCAGCGGGCAUGCCGUUUUCGGAACGUGAGAAACCGUGCGUCGAGAAAUAUAAGCCUUAGCGGGCAAGCCGUUUUCGGAACGUGAGAAACCGCGCGUCGAGAAAUAUAAGCCUCAGCGGGCAUGCCGUUAGCGGAUCGCGAGAAACCGUGCAUCGAGAAAGCAGAAGCCUCCAGCAGGCAUGCCGUUAGCGAUUCGGGAGAAAACGCACGUCGGAAGCAGAAGCCUUCAGCAGGCACGCCGUUAACGAUUCGGGAGAAAACACACGUCGGAAGCAGAAGCCUCCAGCAGGUACGCCGUUAGUGAUUCGAGAGGAAACGCAUUUCGAGAAAGCAGAAGCCCACAACAGGCGCGCCAUUUCGGAACGAGAGAAAUCGACCAGCGAGCACGCGAGCGCAACAGGAAGGAGAGCAGGUAACCGCAAACUAGAGACGGAACUUUCGGAGCGAGUCUCGGGAAAACCUUGAGCCGUUGCACAGGGGUGCAGGUCGACGAAGGCGGACCCCUCUGGACUCCUCAGACAUAGCAAAAGUCAAUCUCAUAGGUAAGCUGCUUCAUGGUGACACAUCAAACUAAGUCAUGGACCUAAGUCACUGGCGCAAGCGCGCGAACCGUUUCGGAACGUGAAAAACCGACAAGCAAGCGCAACCGCGCGGAUCCUUCACGAUUCGGGUGAAAUCGUACCCUGCAGACUGGAAACGGGUUGUAGGGAGCUCACGACCGCAGAAAAUGCCACAAAAGUGAGGCGGGUGUGCAGAAGUAAAGGAGGAACAGCUGAAGAAUCCAGGCUUGUCACAACCGGAGCGGGAAAGAAGCAGACGUAAAUGCGCAGGAUAUAAGCCUUCCAGGCUUGCCGUUACCGUAGCGAGAGAAAACGGACGCACGUCGAGAAACAAGCUGAAGCCUCCCAGGCUUGCAGUUACCGUAACGAGAGAAAACGGACGGGUGUGAGAAAGCAGACUAGACAGAUCGGCAAAAGCACAAACAGUGUCCAGCCCGAACAAGUAAAUCUACAGCUAUGAGCAGCGCCAGUUCCCAGUGCUUAAGCAUGAAAACACGACAGAUCGGUAUUAAUCUUCCUAAACUGGACGGGCGUUUCAGUCCAGUAGACACAGAACUCAAAUUGAGUCACAGGUCUCACUUGGUCGUGGAGGCGUCACCACGACAAAUCUCUAAAGCAACGCGAAUCAGGGGCGCGGACGUUCAGGCGGCUAGUCCAAAUGAAUUUAACCCUUGCAUGGACUCGUGGUGAUAGGAGAGACUAAAUCCUCUCAUACCUCAAACAUACGACCGCCUCUCACACGACUUACAGUCCAAUGAGAGUAAAUGUUCUCUGAACCACUUACCGAUUCAGACACAUAUGAGCCAUUUUGUCUUUGUUUUGACACUUAAUGUUAAAUGUCGAUCUACUAGUAUAAUUUAGCCAUUAUGAAACUAGUUAGAAUCCUUGAAUGUCGCUACCUAAUGAGAGCAUAUGAUUUGAAGGCCAGCAAAGAACUGAGUCGGAGACAUUUUAGCCACGACAAGUGGGCGCACGAUUACACCUUUCAAGCAGAAGAAGUCUGCUGUAAUGUUUAUUUGGUAUUAUGUUUAUAUUAGAGAUCAAGAUAUGGAGAGCAACCGUUAGGCUCUCAAGCAAUUAUGUUGGAUAUAUGAUGUAGAAAAGUAAUCUGUUCAGUCUCCGGCGCACUUCUUACGGAAGUGAAAGUUUUAGAAAUUUUUCGUGAAUGGCAAUAGCAAUUCACGAAAAAUUUUUGCCAUUGGGUAGGGUUGUGUAGCAGUUAAAUUAUUUGAUUAGAUGUUAACUCAAUUUGAACAUCUUCAACACACACAUUAUACUAAGUUAAAGUUAAGCGUGUAUGAAUCCACCACAAGGGCCGCCUGCCAGCUUGAAAGUGAAACAUCAUCAACAAACUUUCUGCAGUAACUAUAUCCAUUCUACCUGUCAGUUGCGAAGAGAGUGUUUCCGCUUACUAAAAAAAGGAAUCACAAUAAAAAGUAAUGGUGUAAGGUGCAGCCGUGAUUCCUGCUUCGUGCGCUUAAACCGGCUGAAAAAAUACUCGUGCGGGACAGAACGCACAAAUUACAAAACGAUUUUACUUUGGAAAGGGUCGCACGGAAAAAAAUACGCGAUUCCGACAGUCACACGAGUGUUGAUCCGGUCAAAACUCAAGCGUACAAGCAGGAACACAACGUCCGUUCACACAAGGCCUGUUGAUCUAAUCAGGGUUGAUUCCGGAUCGUACCGGAUUGCACUGGGAAGAUAAGAAUCCUGAAGGUAUCAGUACCAGCAAGCAGUGAUCUGCGAACGAAAAGCGAUACGCUUUUAACCAGCCUAGCAAACACGAAACGGAAAACGCCUUCCAAGAGAAGGCUCCUUUUCCGACACUUAAAGUGUCCUACUACAAGCAUCGGGACUCAGAUACCGGCUCAUCAGAAGUUCAAUCAAGGCGUCGGUCGAACAGGAACAAUUCGCAGGCAGAUCAGUUGGUGGAAGGAAUCUGGUCACCGCAGCUGUGCACCUGGACGCAGGUGAGCAGCCUGAGUACAAGCGGGUAAUAGGAGACCGUGACGCAAUAGGUCCCACGGUCGAGCUCAAGGGGAUUUUGUCACUAACGAGGGCACGCCGGAUGGAACGGAAGGUGGCGAGACACACGGUUCAUAUCGUGAGAUGCCGCAGCGGAUGGCGGGGCUGUGAGUACUAGCUUUUAAGAAGUGAAUAGAAUCAGUAGGCUGGAAGGGCAGAGCAGCAGGGAUAGGUGGAUAGAAGAAGUCAGAGAAAAAAGAGGAAUGUGUGAAGAGAGAUGAAUAAAGGGGUAGGAUGUUCAAAAUGACACGUGUAGGUUUUGGUUUUAUGAGCAGUCGGCCCAGUUGAGGCAAGUUGUCGCCGAGGCUGUAGCAAGACAAUAUUACAAUAUACCUCUGCCUGGAAAACUGUAGGCCACUUUCCCAUUGAUAUCGCUUCUUUAAUUCUUGAUCCGUAGACUCCCGAGCCAGUCAGCUCACCCAUUUUAGAACCAUCCGUAUAGAAUGAUAUUGUACCUUGAGGCAGUAUAGG